GGGGGCCGCAAGGCUCUCGCUCGUGGAGGGGCUCGCGCAUCAUCAGCUAGUUGGCGGGGUAACGGCCCACCAAGGCUUACGAUUAGCUGGUCUGAGAGGAUGACCAGCCCCACUGGGACUGAGAUACUGCCCAGACUCCUACGGGAGGCUGCAGUCGAGGAUCAUUUGCAAUGGGCGAAAGCCUGACAAUGCGACGCUGCGUGGAGGAUGAAGGCCCUCGGGUUGUAAACUCCUGUCAUAAGGGAACAGGCGAUUCUACCUAAUACGUAGGAAAGUUGAGUGUACUUUAAGAGGAAGCGACGGCUAACUCUGUGCCAGCAGCCGCGGUAAUACAGAGGUCGCAAGCGUUGUUCGGAUUUACUGGGCGUAAAGGGCGCGUAGGCGGCAGGGCGUUGUCAAGUGUGAAAUCUCCCGGGCUCAACCCGGAAAGUGCGCUUGAAACUACCUUGCUCGAGUUCUGGGAGAGGGAAUCGGGAAUGCAGGGUGUAGCGGUGAAAUGCGUUGAUAUCCGGCAGAACACCGGAGGGGAAGGGCGGGAUUCCUGGAACAGUUACUGACGCUGAGGCGGGAAAGUCGGGGGAGCAAACAGGAUUAGAUACCCUGGUAGUCCCGACCUUAAACGGUGCACACUCGGGGGGGGGCCAUUUCACCGGUCCGGUCUCUUAGCUAACGCGUUAAGUGUGCCGCCUGGGGAGUACGGCCGCAAGGCUAAAACUCAAAGAAAUUGACGGGGGCCCGCACAAGCAGAGGAGCAUGUGGCUUAAUUCGAUGCAACGCGAAGAACCUUACCUGGGGUUUGACAUCGUCGGCAAUGCCCUGUGAAAGCAGGGCGGAGGUUAUCCGAUAGACAGGUGCUGCAUGGCUGUCGUCAGUUCGUGCCGUGAGGUGUUUGGUUAAGUCCACCAACGAACGCAACCCCUUUGACAUGUUGCCAGCGGGUCAAGCCGGGAACUCGUGUCAUACUGCCUGUUUACGCAGGAGGAAGGUGGGGAUGACGUCAAGUCAGUAUGGCCCUUACAUCCAGGGCUGCACACGUGCUACAAUGGCAUAUACAGAGCGACGCGAGACCGCAAGGUGGAGCAAACCGCACAGAGUAUGCCUCAGUUCAGAUCGGGGUCUGCAACCCGACCCCGUGAAGUCGGAUUUGCUAGUAACGGCGUAUCAGCUACGACGCCGUGAAUGCGAUCCCGGGCCUUGCACACACCGCCCGUCA
rnacentral:rRNA from 1 species